GUCUGUGAUGCCCUUAGAUGUUCUGGGCCGCACGCGCGCUACACUGAUAAAGCCAGCGAGUAUUCGCCUUGACCGGAAGGUCUGGGUAAUCUUUUGAAACUUUAUCGUGAUGGGGAUUGAGCAUUGCAAUUAUUGCUCAUGAACGAGGAAUUCCUAGUAAGCGCGAGUCAUCAGCUCGCGUUGAUUACGUCCCUGCCCUUUGUACACGCCGCCCGUCGAUACUACCGAUUGAAUGGCUUAGUGAGACCUUUGGAUGGAGCUUCUUGCCGCGAGGCGUUGAGGCACCAGAAAUUGUUCAAACUUAUCCAUUUAGAGGAAGUAAAAGUCGUAACAAGGUUUCCGUAGGUGAACCUGCGGAAGGAUCAUUAACAAAUCAUUUGCUCUGGAGGCACCGCUCGCGGACCACCAUUUGCAAUUUACUCGUCUUGGGGAAGGCCGUCAAGGGUGGCUCUUUCCUCUCCGGAGGCUUGGCCACUAAUACCGAUGCGCUGGACCCUCUUGACACAAUACUUACUUUCGCAAUUGACAACUACUGGGAACCGAGUAGACAUGCAUAGCAUGUUUGCUUUAUAACCAAAACAACUUUUAACAAUGGAUCUCUUGGCUCUUGCAACGAUGAAGAACGCAGCGAACUGCGAAAACGUAAUGUGACCUGCACUCUUCGUGAAUCAUCCAAUCUUUGAACGCAAUUUGCACCUCGUGGCUUCUUGUCACAAGGUAUACUUGUUUGAGUAUCAUAAACAUCCUCACCUCCCCGAAAGGGCGAAGUGGAUUUGGGGGUUCGUCAACACGCUUAGCUGGUGACGUCCUCUAAAAUGCAAAGCUCGAUUUUGGAAGGUCUCCGUUUGGCUUGACUAGGCUAUUGGGAUAAUAUCCCCUGCAAUCGCCGGUCUUGCCUCCUCGACGUUGACCAUCCUGAGCUAACAAGGAAGCCCUGUUGGCCCGUCAUGGGUCCCCAGCGGUUCCACAUUGUGUUGGUCGGGUAUAAUGCAUACGCGCCGCAUAAUUUUGAUAUUGAUCUCAAAUCAAGUAAGGGUACCCGCUGAACUUAAGCAUAUCAGUAAGCGGAGGAAAAGAAACUAACAAGGAUUCCCCUAGUAACGGCGAGUGAAGCGGGAAGAGCUCAAAUUUAAAAUCUGACACACUUGCGGUGUCCGAAUUGUAAUUGAGAGGGUCCCCAUCUGGUUACCGUGCUUGACCAAAGUUCCCUGGAAAGGGACAACAAAGAGGGUGACAUUCCCGUCUGGGUCCUGUGCGUGUGCCUAUAACGUUGGGGGCUCUAAGAGUCGGAUUGUUUGGGAAUGCAGUCCAAAAUGGGUGGUACAUUUCAUCUAAAGCUAAAUACUGGCAAGAGACCGAUAGCGAACAAGUACCGUGAGGGAAAGAUGAAAAGAACUUUGAAAAGAGAGUUAAAUAGUACGUGAAAUUGUUAAAAGGGAAACGCUUUAGACCAGUGAUGCAGGCGACACUCACCGUGACCACUUGUGGGCUCGGAUUGUGUGUCGCUUCGCAAGUUGACGCUCCUUUUGAGGACCGGAAAAGGCUACGUGGAAAGGUGGCUCUGCCUUCGGGCAGCUGCUUUAUAGUCCACUAGAGAUACGGUGCUCGGGAGGUGACAGGUAGGGCCGAAAGGCUCACGUCGACGAAAUGGUCUUAAACGACCCGUCUUGAAACACGGACCAAGGAGUCUAACAACUAUGCGAGUAUUUGGGUGGCUAAAACUCGAAUGCGUAAAGAAACUGAACGCGUGGGAUCUGGUGGCCUACGGGCUAUCAGUGCACCAUGGGCCGGUCCUUGUCUUUGACUUGGAUUGCGUUAGAGCAUAUCUGUUGGGACCCGAAAGAUGGUGAACUAUGCCUGAAUAGGGUGAAGCCAGGGGAAACUCUGGUGGAGGCUCGUAGACAUUCUGACGUGCAAAUCGAUGUUCAAAUUUGGGUAUAGGGGCGAAAGACUAAUCGAACC
rnacentral:rRNA from 1 species